rnacentral:tRNA from 1 species
GGGGAUUUAGCUCAGCGGAAAAGCACCUGCCUUGCAAGCAGGCAGUUGUAAGUUCGAUCCCCG